rnacentral:rRNA from 1 species
CAACUUUUAACGGUGGAUCUCUUGGCUCACGCAUCGAUGAAGAACGCAGCCAGCUGCGAUAAGUAGUGUGAAUUGCAGAAUUCAGUGAAUCAUCGAAUCUUUGAACGCAAAUGGCGCUCUUGGGUUCUCCCAGGAGCAUGUCUGUCUGAGUGUCGGA